AUAGGAAGUAAACCAUUAUGGACAAUUGUUUUAUAAAAAAAGUCUUGGACCAAUCAUUGCAAAGGGAUAACUUCAUUGAAGAAACUACUAUUACAACGAGGACCAACAUCUAGACAUAAAGGAAUAUUCCGAAAAAAAGCAUCACUUAUAUAAAUAUAUCUAAAUAUAACAAAUGGACAACAAAUCACCAUCGACAACGUAGUGAAAAGAAAAAAAAAGUUUCAGUGAAUAAAUGUUAUCAGAACUCGAUAGGAAUCUGUCGAAUCAAGCAAGAAAUACAUUAUUUGGAUAAACAAAUUUUAAUUUAACAACUGAAAAACAAAUAUAUACAAAGCGUAAAUCUACGCCAUCUAUCAAGCAAUUUCGGAAUUACAGAUUCAUUUUUACUUCUUUAAGAAAAUAUUGUAAAACAAUAUCAAAACAUCAUGAUGAUAUCAACAAAAAUUGUAAUGUCUUUCCAUCGUAUAUAAUUACUUUAUUUGUCAAAUCAACAAUAAUAAUACAUAAUCCUAUUUGUAAUAUUAAUGACAAAUUUAAAUUUAUGACGUCAUCAACAGUUGUGGGAUUAUUUGAUGCGGUCUUACAAUGCCCGGCCAAGUUUCAAACUAUGGUAAACGCGAACACAGUUAAACAUAGAAAAUGUCAAAAAGAGUAAAUGUCGACGAAUUUUUAAAUUUUGGCAUGUCGUCGUCAAUCGCGUGAAAAAUGCAUCACUGGGGUUUAUUUCCAAGAGAAACAAAUACAUUUUACAAAUUAAAGGAUUCAUAAAAUUGCAGAAAGAGAAUUGAUACAAGAACUAGAUGUUUCACUAUCCCUAAUAACGAAAUAACCAAAUAUUCGUUUUAUUUAUUUCGGAAAUGCAAAAAAAGCUGACGUCCCAGGUAUGGGUUUAGACCAUUGAAGAGCCAAUUGAGAGAGCUUCAAAAUGACGUACUACUCAAUCACCUUGAAGCGGUCGAGAAUGUGUAAAACUACCCCCAAUACUAAAAUAACCAAAUGUUUAUUUUAUUUAUUUCGGACUCGCAAAAAAAGCUGACGUCCCAGGUAACAAAUUAGGCCAUUGAAAAACCGCUUAGAAGAUGCUAGUUUAACAGCAAAAUUUAUCAUCAAUGACUUAUCAAUAAAACGACUUCUGAUAACUUCAAGAGAAAUUACCAUAAGAAAUUUAAAUAAACCAUCAUUGCCAAUUUGGAAAGAAAAUUAUCCAAGUAAAAUAUUAUUUGGAUAAAUGGAUAUAAACACAGGUAAAGUUUUAUCAUGUUCAAAUUAUAAGUCGUAAUUGAUAUUUGAUAUAAAAUUAACUUUUCAUAUAAUUUUUCAAAAUUAUUUACACAAUUCAAGUUAGUUUUAUUGUUUUUGUCAACAUUUACAUGAAUCAUAUAUAUGUGUAAGUAUUUCAAAUAGACGAUUUUCAAUUUGUUUCCCAAAAUUGCUUGAUAAAUUUAAAAUAUUUUAUUUACUCUUUUGACGGUAAAAUUUUUUUCAUGUUAUAAUCCUGUAGAUAAAAAACAAACCAUCAUUAACAAUUUCUCUAUAAAGAAUGCCUUCAAUCAGUUAUUGAACAUGGACGGACUGAUAAUUUCAUUCAAAAAAUUACCAUCACCAUUUUACAAAGUCUUAUAUCAUCUAAAAAGAAAGAAAUAAUUUAAAAAAAUAUAUUUAAAUGAAUGAAUGAAAACAUGAUGAUGAUGAUAAUUAAUCUUAAUUUUCUUUUAAUAUUUAUAUUAUUACUCUUAAUUUGAAAUAUUAGUGUUUUAAUGUGUUUCAUUUAUUUAUAUAUUUUUUUAAAUUAUUCAAGUUUUUUAAAUUUUAAUUUCCUAAUAUUUCUUUUUGAAUGUAAAAUUUUCCAUUUAUUUCUCUCAAUGGAAAUUUAAAAAUUAUUAUAUAUUUUUAAGUAGACAAUAAAUCACUACCGACAACUUAGUUAUAAAGAAAAUCAUUCAUCAAUUAUGAAAAAAAAAAGAAGACAAUUUUAUUAAAUAAAUGAUCAUUGAAACUUUGUAAGUAUUCGUCGAGUCAUCCAAGAAAUACUUCAUUUAGACACAAAUUUCAAUUGAACAAGUGUUUUUUAUAUUCAUUUUACGUAACCUAUUACGUGUAAUAUCUACUACUACAAAAUCAAUAAUUACUUUAUAUAAUUUUUAAUAUUUUCCAGUUUAACACAAGAAAUGUAAAACAUAAAUCCACACAAUUUGUCAAACAAAUUCGGCAUUGUUUACAGAUUCCUUUUUAUUUCUUUUAAGAAAAUAAAGUGACGACAAGAAAUGAAAUAAAAGAAAACUAUAAAGAAUAAAAUAUCGUUUAUUUAAAAAAAAAAUUAAAAUGAAUAUCACAUGCGAUAUUAAAAAUAUUCAUUACUACAUAAAUUACUUCCCUUCCUGAAGUAUUAUAAUUAAGAAAAAAGUAAAAGAAACAAUAAUAAUGCGGAUAAUUACAGAUUAUUUUUAAAUAUAUUUUUGCAUUUUUGAUGUUUCAAUAUCUUAACGAAAUUACCAAAAAACUAUAAUAAUUUUCUAAAAUUUCAUCGCAUGUAAUUGCCUGAUAAUAUCAUAUAAAAUAUCAAAUAAUUGCCUAAUUCGUGAAAUUAACAAUAUGAAAUAUAUUCUAACGUGAAAUUUGUGACGCCAUUGACAGUUGCGACGUUAUCCAAUACGGUUCUGCAGUGCCCUUCCGAAUUUGAAUCUAUGGUAGACACAACCAUAUUCGAACACGAAGAAGAGUCGUUGAAGACGCCGAGAUGGGAACAAGAUUUUGGAAUAUCGUCGUUCAUCGCGCAAAGAAUACAUCGCGGGGAUUUAUUUUGAGAAGAAACAGAAAUAUUUCAUACAUAACAGGUGAUUAGGAUACCCAAGAAAUUACGCAAAAGCAAAACAAUACGAUAAUAGAAAAGUGAGCAUACAGAAAAAUAUUUGAUAUGAUUCAACAACAAGGUGUUUAGUCAUAAAGAAUGAUUCCAAUUCGGAUUAGAUAGUUUUCAUCAUGUACGAGUGAAUAUACCUCUUACAACAUAAAAAUUACCCCGAGUUAGUUAUCAAAGAAACAAUUGUAGACAACUUCUAAAGAAAUUGUCAUAAGGAACUUGCCAAAAUUGCCAUCACCGAUUUGAAAUGGAUAUAUUUCUGCAAAUGAACAACAAACCAUCAUUGACCAUUGAUGAUCACUUUUAUGAAGAAUGUCUUUGACCAUUCAUCCAAAAAAAAAGCCGUUGAUAAUUUCAUCAAAAAGAUUACCGUUGUGACCCUACAAGGACCGAUGUCAUCUAGACGAGAAGAGGUUUUACAAGAAAUAGGAUACUCGAAUAAAAAGAUUCAAAUGUACCAAGCAAGUUUUAAAUAAACUCAUAUUGUAUAUUAUAUGUAGUGUUUCAUAUUAAAAAGUUAAUAAUUUAUGUAAUGCUUUUAUGAAAUUGAUUAAGUUACUCAAUUAUUUUUAUGGCACUAACUUUUAAUAUAUAUUGAAUGAUUUAUAUUUUAAACAUUUCAAUACUUAAAUCGUUUAUACCUUUUGUUAAACUAUUUAAAACAAAUAUGUUUUAAUUUCUUCAAGUUUGGCUAGUAUUUGGAAGAUAUUGACAUGAAUAUGUAACUUUUUGCAUCAAAAAUUGAUAGUUUAAGCUGAUAUUUGUAGUAUUGAUGCGG